rnacentral:rRNA from 1 species
AGUGAACGCUGGCGGUAGGCCUAACACAUGCAAGUCGAACGGCAGCACAGUAAGAGCUUGCUCUUACGGGUGGCGAGUGGCGGACGGGUGAGGAAUACAUCGGAAUCUACUUUUUCGUGGGGGAUAACGUAGGGAAACUUACGCUAAUACCGCAUACGACCUACGGGUGAAAGCAGGGGAUCUUCGGACCUUGCGCGAUUGAAUGAGCCGAUGUCGGAUUAGCUAGUUGGCGGGGUAAAGGCCCACCAAGGCGACGAUCCGUAGCUGGUCUGAGAGGAUGACCAGCCACACUGGAACUGAGACACGGUCCGGACUCCUACGGGAGGCAGCAGUGGGGAAUAUUGGACAAUGGGCGCAAGCCUGAUCCAGCCAUACCGCGUGGGUGAAGAAGGCCUUCGGGUUGUAAAGCCCUUUUGUUGGGAAAGAAAAGCAGCAGGUUAAUACCCCGCUGUUCUGACGGUACCCAAAGAAUAAGCACCGGCUAACUUCGUG